CAAGGUGCCGAGCAGGACACCUAGAUUGGAGCAGGGCUGGGGAAAGGACAGAGGAGCUGGGAGCUCCGGCCUGGAAAGCCUCAGGCUGCAGGCCUGACUACAGGCUGAAUAGGUGCAGGGCAGAGGGACAGCCCAUGGGCAGGCGGAGUCAGCAGGUCCAAAACCGCCUUGCCUGUGAUGAGUGGCGUAUACACUGCAGUCUGCCCCCGAUACAAGGGGCUAAGUGGGGGCUGGCAGUAGCCCAUACUGAGGUGAGGUGGGGUUAGAGGGUGGGGGGUUCCCCUGGGUGGGGAGACCUAGAACCUGAGAAUGUGGGGGUACUGCCAGGGGGCAGCACCCCAGAGAAAGGGACAAAGGGGCUGGCGAUAAGGUGGAUCGCUGGCCUGCAGAAGGUGCUUUGGUGGCUGGAUGAGCUAAUUCCCGAUGACUACCAACAGGAGGUGCUGCCGGGUGGGAGCUGUGCACUGCACAGAAACAUCUCAGAGGUGCUCGUGGGCUAGAAUGCUACAUGAGGUUUGGGCUGGGAGAUCCUUGAAGAGUUUGUUGGAAGUUGCUGAAAGUGCAGGUCAUCUGCAAGGAGAACAAACAUACUACAAUUAAGAAGAAAGCAACUACCCAAUACACAAUGAAGUUUUGCAGCUUGCUAUGGACCAGAUUCUGUCAGCCUUCUUCAUGUUUGGUAGAACCUUAUUCUACAAAGAGUCACAUUGAUUUUAAUGGAACUAUUUGAGUGAAGUGAGAAAUGGGCCCUUCAGUAUUCUUUGUAUUGCUUUCCCACACACAGACGUGCACACGCACUUAAUGUUCAGAAUAGUCUGCUUGUGAUCAGGCAUUUUCUUUGGCAUUUUCCGAUGGAUGAGAAGGCUAGAGAGAAGCUGCAAAUAGUCCCUAUAACGGACCUUGCACUCAAGGAUUCAGAUGUCUAAUCUAUUCUAAUAAAGGGUCUUUCAGAGACCAGUAACUAGUUUGUGCUCUUCUAGUAGGUACAGUGUUUAAAUUGUAAUGAAAGGUGUGCUGGGGCUCAAGCAAUGUUUUUUACUUUUAUAACUGACAUGGCAAGACCAGAGGUACCAGGGCUAUGGGGCUAUGAACUGUAAGUGUAGAGGUGCCAGGUCUCAGCCCCGGCAAGCCCUAGCACAAACUAAGCACUGAGUAGACAGAAAUUAUUUCAGAAUUAGAGGGUUCACACAGUUUCACAGCAGGUUGGACAGAGAACAAGUCAUGUCUCCUUUGAAGAAAAUUAUCUCAAGUUUCUCAAAGGAGGAAUUUCUGACCCCUUUUAUUUGAUCAGUCGGCUUUGUAUUAGUGAUUUUAGAUCUUUGAUACCACAGUUAAGAUUAAGGCAUUUACCCCUUCGACUUGUGGUGAUAGUGUUUGAUAGGAUCUG